rnacentral:rRNA from 1 species
UGGGGAAUAUUGCACAAUGGGCGCAAGCCUGAUGCAGCCAUGCCGCGUGUGUGAAGAAGGCCUUCGGGUUGUAAAGCACUUUCAGCGGGGAGGAAGGCGUUAAGGUUAAUAACCUUGGCGAUUGACGUUACCCGCAGGAGAAGCACCGGCUAACUCCGUGCCAGCAGCCGCGGUAAUACGGAGGGUGCAAGCGUUAAUCGGAAUUACUGGGCGUAAAGCGCACGCAGGCGGUCUGUCAAGUCGGAUGUGAAAUCCCCGGGCUCAACCUGGGAACUGCAUUCGAAACUGGCAGGCUAGAGUCUUGUAGAGGGGGGUAGAAUUCCAGGUGUAGCGGUGAAAUGCGUAGAGAUCUGGAGGAAUACCGGUGGCGAAGGCGGCCCCCUGGACAAAGACUGACGCUCAGGUGCGAAAGCGUGGGGAGCAAACAGG